rnacentral:rRNA from 1 species
AGAGUUUGAUCAUGGCUCAGAACGAACGCUGGCGGCAUGCCUAAUACAUGCAAGUCGAACGGUGCCUUCGGGCAUAGUGGCGCACGGGUGAGUAUCGCGUGGGAACCUGCCUCUUGGUUCGGAACAACCUCGGGAAACUGAGGCUAAUACCGGAUACGACGGUUGGCUGUGGUGGCCGGCUGGGAAAGAUUUAUCGCCGA